rnacentral:rRNA from 1 species
CAGGAUGAACGCUAGCGGCAGGCUAACACAUGCAAGUCGAGGGGCAGGCGGGAUGUAGCAAUACAUGCCGGCGACCGGCGGAUGGGUGCGUAACGCGUAUGCAACCUACCUUAUACAGGGGAAUAACCUUUCGAAAGGGAGACUAACACCCCAUAGUAUUGAUUUAAGGCAUCUUAGAUUAAUUAAAUAUUUAUAGGUAUAAGAUGGGCAUGCGUAUGAUUAGCUAGUUGGUAAGGUAACGGCUUACCAAGGCGACGAUCAUUAGGGGUUCUGAGAGGAAGGUCCCCCCACACUGGUACUGAGACACGGACCAGACUCCUACGGGAGGCAGCAGUGAGGAAUAUUGGUCAAUGGGCGCAAGCCUGAACCAGCCAUGCCGCGUGCAGGAAAAGACGGCCUUAUGGGUUGUAAACUGCUUUUACAUAAGACUAACCGUAUAUUUGCGAAUAUACCUGAAUGUAUUAUGAGAAUAAGGAUCGGCUAACUCCGUGCCAGCCGCUGC